GUGUUUUAUUCCAUGUUUUACCCAGUCUGUGCUCUCCCCGUGCUCGCUCUCCUCCUGUCUGAACCUCUGUGUACUUCCUGUUUUACUUUGACAGUCUCCCGUCAGUGUUGCGUUUACUCCUGCCAUGUCUCGUUAUGAUUAUCUGUGUCAGCUGUGUUCCCCGUGUGCUCCCACUUCCCUCGUUAACCCUCUGUGUAUUUAUGUCCACGUCUCCCUUAGUUCAGCGUCGCGUUCUCCCUCAUGCUGUGUGUGAUUCUCCCCGUGUCUCCAAGUGUACAUUAUAAUUAGCUUUUCCCAGUUUAGUUUGUAUGGUUUUUCUGUCCAGCAAUAAAGCUGUGUUUUCAGUUCAUUCCUACCUCUGUGAGCUUGCGUUUGGGUCCUCAUCCUGCCUGCACACAGCCUAACCAUGACAUGAACAGGGAGAGAAAAGAAAGUGAGCUAACUUUACUCAGAGAUGGAAAAAGAUAAGAAAGACACCACAGGAGAGGAAGAAGAGAUGUUAGAUUUAAAGCCAUCUACCAAGACACACCAACGCAGGCCAUCUACUAAGCCAUGCCGACACCGGCCACCAUCCAAUCCACCUGAGGGUUUCCACCCUAAUCGUCUCCCUCUCCUGUGUCCUGAAGGUUCCCACCUU